rnacentral:rRNA from 1 species
AGUGUGAAAACCUCACCGCUCAACGGGAGGAGGUCACUGGAAACUACUGUCCUUGAGAAUGGGAGAGGUGAGUGGAAUUCCCGGUGUAGCGGUGGAAUGCGUAGAUAUCGGGAGGAACACCGGUGGCGAAGGCGGCUCACUGGCCCGUUUCUGACGCUCAGGCCCGAAAGCCAGGGGAGCAAACAGGAUUAGAUACCCUGGUAGUCCUGGCUGUAAACGGUGGGCACUAGGUGUGGGAGGUACCGACUCUUUCCGUGCCGUAGCUAACGCAUUAAGUGCCCCGCCUGGGGAGUACGGCCGCAAGGCUGGAACUCAAAGGAAUUGACGGGGGCCCGCACAAGCGGUGGAGCAUGUGGUUUAAUUCGACGCAACGCGAAGAACCUUACCCGGGCUUGAAUUUCCGGUGGUACCUGCUCGAAAGGGUUAGGGAUUCCGCUUCGGCGGAAAGCCGGAAGAGGUGCUGCAUGGCUGUCGUCAGCUCGUGCUGUGAGGUGUUGGGUUAAGUCCCGCAACGAGCGUAACCCUUGCCCAUAGUUGCCAGCGGGUAAUGCCGGGCACUCUAUGGGGACUGCCCUCGAUAAGAGGGAGGAAGGUGGGGACGACGUCAAGUCCUCAUGGCCCUUACGUCCGGGGCUACACACGUGCUACAAUGGCUGCUACAGCGCGUUGCCAACCCGCGAGGGGGAGCUAAUCGCUGAAAAGCGGCCUCAGUUCAGAUCGGAGUCUGCAAUUCGACUCCGUGAAGGCGGAAUCGCUAGUAAUCGCGGAUCAGCACGCCGCGGUGAAUACGUUCCCGGGCCUUGUACACACCGCCCGUCACACCACGAAAGUUGGCUGUACCAGAAGUCGUCUAACCAACUCCG